UACGUAGGGUGCUAGCGUUGUCCGGAAUUAUUGGGCGUAAAGCGAGCGCAGGCGGUUCCUUAAGUCUGAUGUGAAAGCCCACGGCUCAACCGUGGAGGGUCAUUGGAAACUGGAAAACUUGAGUGCAGAAGAGGAAAGUGGAAUUCCAUGUGUAGCGGUGAAAUGCGCAGAGAUAUGGAGGAACACCAGUGGCUAAGGCGACUUUCUGGUCUGCAACUGACGCUGAUGUGCGAAAGCGUGGGGAUCAAACAGG
rnacentral:rRNA from 1 species